AGAGUUUGAUCCUGGCUCAGGACGAACGCUGGCGGCGUGCCUAAUACAUGCAAGUCGAGCGGAAAUUUUAUUGGUGCUUGCACCUUUAAAAUUUCAGCGGCGGACGGGUGAGUAACACGUGGGUAACCUGCCUUAUAGAUUGGGAUAACUCCGGGAAACCGGGGCUAAUACCGAAUAAUACUUUUAAACACAUGUUUGAAAGUUGAAAGACGGUCUUGCUGUCACUAUAAGAUGGACCCGCGGCGCAUUAGCUAGUUGGUGAGGUAACGGCUCACCAAGGCAACGAUGCGUAGCCGACCUGAGAGGGUGAUCGGCCACACUGGGACUGAGACACGGCCAAGACUCCUACGGGAGGCAGCAGUAGGGAAUCUUCCACAAUGGACGAAAGUCUGAUGGAGCAACGCCGCGUGAGUGAAGAAGGAUUUCGGUUCGUAAAACUCUGUUGCAAGGGAAGAACAAGUAGCGUAGUAACUGGCGCUACCUUGACGGUACCUUGUUAGAAAGCCACGGCUAACUACGUGCCAGCAGCCGCGGUAAUACGUAGGUGGCAAGCGUUGUCCGGAAUUAUUGGGCGUAAAGCGCGCGCAGGUGGUUCUUUAAGUCUGAUGUGAAAGCCCCCGGCUCAACCGGGGAGGGUCAUUGGAAACUGGGGAACUUGAGUGCAGAAGAGAAGAGUGGAAUUCCACGUGUAGCGGUGAAAUGCGUAGAGAUGUGGAGGAACACCAGUGGCGAAGGCGACUCUUUGGUCUGUAACUGACGCUGAGGCGCGAAAGCGUGGGGAGCAAACAGGAUUAGAUACCCUGGUAGUCCACGCCGUAAACGAUGAGUGCUAAGUGUUAGGGGGUUUCCGCCCCUUAGUGCUGCAGUUAACGCAUUAAGCACUCCGCCUGGGGAGUACGGCCGCAAGGCUGAAACUCAAAGGAAUUGACGGGGGCCCGCACAAGCGGUGGAUGAUGUGGUUUAAUUCGAUGCAACGCGAAAAACCUUACCCACCUUUGACAUGUACGGAAGUCGCCAGAGAUGGCUUCGUGCUCGAAAGAGAACCGUAACACAGGUGCUGCAUGGCUGUCGUCAGCUCGUGUCGUGAGAUGUUGGGUUAAGUCCCGCAACGAGCGCAACCCUUGCCAUUAGUUGCUACAUUUAGUUGGGCACUCUAAUGGGACUGCCGGUGACAAACCGGAGGAAGGUGGGGAUGACGUCAAGUCCUCAUGGCGCUUAUAGGUGGGGCUACACACGUCAUACAAUGGCUGGUACAGAAGGUUGCCAACCCGCGAGAGGGAGCCAAUCCUAUAAAGCCAGUCGUAGUCCGGAUCGCAGUCUGCAACUCGACUGCGUGAAGUCGGAAUCGCUAGUAAUCGCGGAUCAGAAUGUCGCGGUGAAUACGUUCCCGGGUCUUGCACACACCGCCCGUCA
rnacentral:rRNA from 1 species